UCGGAUCGCAGGCUGCAACCCGCCUGCGUGAAGUUGGAAUCGCUAGUAAUCGCGGAUCAGCAUGCCGCGGUGAAUACGUUCCCGGGCCUUGUACACACCGCCCGUCACACCAUGAGAGUCGGGAACACCCGAAGUCCGUAGCCUAACAGCAAUGGGGGCGCGGCCGAAGGUGGGAUUGAUGACUGGGGCGAAGUCGUAACAAGGUAAC
rnacentral:rRNA from 1 species